UACGAAGGGGGCUAGCGUUGCUCGGAAUCACUGGGCGUAAAGCGCACGUAGGCGGACUUCUAAGUCGAGGGUGAAAUCCCGGGGCUCAACCUCGGAACUGCCUUCGAUACUGGGAGUCUUUGAGUCCGGGAGAGGUGAGUGGAACUGCGAGUGUAGAGGUGGAAUUCGUAGAUAUUAGGAAGAACACCAGUGGCGAAGGCGGCUCACUGGUCCGGUACUGACGCUGAGGUGCGAAAGCGUGGGUAGCAAACAGG
rnacentral:misc_RNA from 1 species